rnacentral:rRNA from 1 species
UACGUAGGGGGCUAGCGUUGUUCGGAAUCACUGGGCGUAAAGCGCACGUAGGCGGAUCGUUAAGUCAGGGGUGAAAUCCCGAGGCUCAACCUCGGAACUGCCUUUGAUACUGGGGAUCUCGAGUCCGGGAGAGGUGAGUGGAACUGCGAGUGUAGAGGUGAAAUUCGUAGAUAUUCGCAAGAACACCAGUGGCGAAGGCGGCUCACUGGCCCGGAACUGACGCUGAGGUGCGAAAGCGUGGGGAGCAAACAGG